rnacentral:lncRNA from 1 species
CCGCUGCCCGACUGGGUCUCUUAAGAACAUCUGUCCGAUCUGAAUCUCUGGCCUGCCUGUGUGUGUGUGUUUUUUAAAUUUAUUUUCAGUCCCCUCGCCCUCCUUGGAUUGCAGCAAGGAAAGAGGUGUGUCUUCCGCAGAAAAAUGUGCAUGUUCUUUUAGAUGUGUGGCCUCCGAGCAAGGUAUUUAGCCUGCCUCUAUGUGCUCACCUGGAAAAUGGGGUGAUGAAGAAGAUGAUGAUGAUAAUGGGAACUCCCUCUUGGAGCUGCUGUGCAGAUGAAUUUUCC